AGAGUUUGAUCCUGGCUCAGGAUGAACGCUGGCGGCGUGCUUAACACAUGCAAGUCGAACGAUGAUCCCAGCUUGCUGGGGGAUUAGUGGCGAACGGGUGAGUAACACGUGAGUAACCUGCCCUUAACUCUGGGAUAAGCCUGGGAAACUGGGUCUAAUACCGGAUAUGACUCCUCAUCGCAUGGUGGGGGGUGGAAAGCUUUAUUGUGGUUUUGGAUGGACUCGCGGCCUAUCAGCUUGUUGGUGAGGUAAUGGCUCACCAAGGCGACGACGGGUAGCCGGCCUGAGAGGGUGACCGGCCACACUGGGACUGAGACACGGCCCAGACUCCUACGGGAGGCAGCAGUGGGGAAUAUUGCACAAUGGGCGAAAGCCUGAUGCAGCGACGCCGCGUGAGGGAUGACGGCCUUCGGGUUGUAAACCUCUUUCAGUAGGGAAGAAGCGAAAGUGACGGUACCUGCAGAAGAAGCGCCGGCUAACUACGUGCCAGCAGCCGCGGUAAUACGUAGGGCGCAAGCGUUAUCCGGAAUUAUUGGGCGUAAAGAGCUCGUAGGCGGUUUGUCGCGUCUGCCGUGAAAGUCCGGGGCUCAACUCCGGAUCUGCGGUGGGGUACGGGCAGACUAGAGUGAUGUAGGGGAGACUGGAAUUCCUGGUGUAGCGGUGAAAUGCGCAGAUAUCAGGAGGAACACCGAUGGCGAAGGCAGGUCUCUGGGCAUUAACUGACGCUGAGGAGCGAAAGCAUGGGGAGCGAACAGGAUUAGAUACCCUGGUAGUCCAUGCCGUAAACGUUGGGCACUAGG
rnacentral:rRNA from 1 species